rnacentral:rRNA from 1 species
UACGGGGGGGGCAAGCGUUGUUCGGAAUUACUGGGCGUAAAGGGCUCGUAGGCGGCCAACUAAGUCAGACGUGAAAUCCCCAGGCUUAACCUGGGAACUGCGUCUGAUACUGGAUGGCUUGAAUCCGGGAGAGGGAUGCAGAAUUCCAGGUGUAGCGGUGAAAUGCGUAGAUAUCUGGAGGAAUACCGGUGGCGAAGGCGGCAUCCUGGACCGGCAUUGACGCUGAGGCGCGAAAGCGUGGGUAGCAAACGGG